rnacentral:misc_RNA from 1 species
GCAAACUUGGUCAUUUAGAGGAAGUAAAAGUCGUAACAAGGUUUCCGUAGGUGAACCUGCGGAAGGAUCAUUAUUGAAGCUGCUGAGAGGUUGUUGCUGGCUUUCCGGAGCAAUUGUGCACACCUUUCACACUUUAUUCAACCCACCUGUGCACCCUUUGUAGACUUCCGGAUGAAAUCUUCAGUUGAAAAUUGGUCAGGAUAGUUGCUCAUUAACCCGGGCUUCAAUCCAAUUUCCGGAAGGCUAUGUAUUCUACACAAGCUUCAUUAUGAUUGUCUUAGAAUGUAUCAUGGUCUUUUAUGACUAUAAAAUCUAAUACAACUUUCAACAACGGAUCUCUUGGCUCUCGCAUCGAUGAAGAACGCAGC